rnacentral:rRNA from 1 species
UACGAAGGGGGCUAGCGUUGUUCGGAAUUAUUGGGCGUAAAGAGCUCGUAGGCGGUCUGUCACGUCGGCUGUGAAAUCCCGAGGCUCAACCUCGGGCCUGCAGUCGAUACGGGCAAACUAGAGUAUUGCAGGGGAGACUGGAAUUCCUGGUGUAGCGGUGAAAUGCGCAGAUAUCAGGAGGAACACCGGUGGCGAAGGCGGGUCUCUGGGCAAUAACUGACGCUGGAGGAGCG